UUUUACAUUUUUUCUGAUUUUUUGAUAGAAAAAGUGCUUUUUCUGUACACUAUUUGAGUUUAUUCUGUUCCUUAAGGCCUGUUUGAUCUCCUGAAAACGGCUGUUCUUAAUAAUACACACCCAACAUGUAAAGACCACCUACAAGAAGAAACCUUGGUCACUUAUAUAAUGCUGAUGUUUUUCAAUCAUUCUGGUUUACGAGACUGAUUUUAUAUUAUCCAGUUAAAAAUUUUGUAAAACAAAUCGAUGGAUGUAUACAGUUCCAGGGCAGUACAUUUAUCCUUUUCUUGAAUAUUACUAGCAAUGCAUCAGAACUUAGACGUAUAUCUAAAAUUUUAUGGUUUUCUUUUGGUAAAAAUAUUUUUGCUGGUGUUUAAUCUUCAUCAGUGGAUCUCAUCAUUUUUAAAUAAGUAAGAAAAAAUUUCCAAUGGGUCUCUGAGUUACAUUUUUAUGGUUCCUUAUUAUCAUAAACAAAUUCAGACCAUUUAUUUAAAAUUUGGUCCAAUUUUUGGCAUUUGGUCACUACUCUUUCUUUUUGGUAGAAAACAAAUCUUAGAAUUUUACUUCAAGUUGUUUUUGGUUAACUUUCAUAUUUCUAUAACAGCUUGGUUCCCAUAUGUUGUCCAUUAUAUAGGCAUUAUAAUCAGUUCUAUAAAAUAUUCCAUCAACUGUAUUUCAAUAAAUCUUUUAUAUGUAUUAUUUUUCU